AGCGAACGCUGGCGGCAGGCCUAACACAUGCAAGUCGAACGAACCUUUCGGGGUUAGUGGCGGACGGGUGAGUAACACGUGGGAACGUGCCUUUAGGUUCGGAAUAACUCAGUGAAACUUGUGCUAAUACCGAAUGUGCCCUUCGGGGGAAAGAUUAAUCGCCUUUAGAGCGGCCCGCGUCUGAUUAGCUAGUUGGUUGAGGUAAUGGCUCACCAAGGCGACGAUCAGUAGCUGGUCUGAGAGGAUGAUCAGCCACAUUGGGACUGAGACACGGCCCAAACUCCUACGGGAGGCAGCAGUGGGGAAUCUUGCGCAAUGGGCGAAAGCCUGACGCAGCCAUGCCGCGUGAAUGAUGAAGGUCUUAGGAUUGUAAAAUUCUUUCACCGGGGACGAUAAUGACGGUACCCGGAGAAGAAGCCCCGGCUAACUUCGUG
rnacentral:rRNA from 1 species